rnacentral:misc_RNA from 1 species
AUUUGGAAGGCUAUUAAUGGUGGCCAAUGUUGGUGAUUGCCGAGCUGUCCUCUGUCGUAAAGGAGAGGCAAUAGACAUGUCUCAAGACCAUAGGCCUGUUUAUCCAUCAGAACGAAGGCGUGUUGAGGAAUUGGGUGGUUACAUUGAUGAUGGAUAUCUCAAUGGUGUUUUAUCAGUUUCUCGAGCUCUUGGGGAUUGGGACAUGAAAAACCCCCAAGGUGCUCCUUCGCCGCUCAUUGCGGAGCCAGAGUUCCAGCAGGUGAUUCUAACAGAGGAUGAUGAGUUUCUUAUUAUUGGUUGUGAUGGGAUUUGGGAUGUCAUGUCAAGUCAGCGUGCCGUGAACCUUGUCCGUCGGGGGUUGAGGCGGCAUGAUGAUCCAGAUCUGUGUGCUAGGGACCUUGUCAUGGAGGCCU